rnacentral:rRNA from 1 species
UACGUAGGGUGCAAGCGUUAUUCGGAAUUACUGGGCGUAAAGCGUGCGCAGGCGGCUUUGCAAGCCAGAUGUGAAAUCCCCGGGCUUAACCUGGGAACUGCAUUUGUGACUGCAUGGCUGGAGUGCGGCAGAGGGGGAUGGAAUUCCGCGUGUAGCAGUGAAAUGCGUAGAUAUGCGGAGGAACACCGAUGGCGAAGGCAAUCCCCUGGGCCUGCACUGACGCUCAUGCACGAAAGCGUGGGGAGCAAACAGG